GACGAACGCUGGCGGCGUGCUUAACACAUGCAAGUGGAGCGACGAACCAGGCUUCGGCCUGGGGCAGAGCCGCGAACGGGUGAGUAACACGUGGGUAACCUGCCUCGAUGACCGGGACAACCCGGGGAAACCCGGGCUAAUACCGGAUGUGCUGCCUUCACAUCAGUGGAGACAGGAAAGGAAGCUUCGGCCUCCGCAUCGAGAUGGGCCCGCGGCCCAUUAGCUUGUUGGAGU
rnacentral:rRNA from 1 species